CGCAACGUCAGGACGUUGUGUCAGGCUCCCUCCAACAUCAUGAGAAGUUGGCGCCUCUGGUUCUCAGAAUUCUUUGAGGGAAGCCAUGUCAGUUUAAGGGGGGAUCAUAGAGUUUUCAAUAUAUGGUGCGAAUGUGGCCCUCCCAGUUAACAGAGGGAAACAUAAACAAAGCAACCUUUGGACCACCAUGUUUUGGAAUCUGCCAUACUGCAGAUUCUGAAGUGGGCAAUUGCUCCAAUCCAGGUCACGAUCCGUCUGGUUUGGGUGAAGUGACACGUGUGCCUCUGGCCUCCCAAGAUCUCGACGCUGCUCCACACAAAUUUCCAUCUGUUGCUUGAGGUACCCAACCCAGCUCUGCCUUAACUGUAGGGCGCCCCCUGCCCCCCCUUGCCCAAACAGGGCCUUCUCUUAGGUUCGCAAGGUUCCCAGCUAUUACAAUAACACCAUCUCUGUUAAAAAAGAACCGGCAGGAAAAGGGGGACCGGGGGGGGGAGUAGCCAUUUCAUUUGCUGCUGUUCCUCCUCACCCCAUGACUCACCAGAAAUUUAGCAGUUAGUUAGAGCAUGUUACUUCCACUUGUACAGUCAUGUGUGACUAAUUUCUGACUAAUAGGUUUUUCUGUCUCCCAGGAGACGCUAAGUUUCCAGAGCUUUCAGGUUACCCAUUUCGCACUGACUGAGCAGCUGUGACAGAAGGGGAGAGUCCCUGAAAAUGGCUGUGGUGAGGGGUGAGAGAGGGGCUGUUUCUCUGAUUCGUAGGCUCCCUCGUGCCAUCCCCCCCCCCAUGAGCCGUUAUUUCUGUUUCAGCCAUGAUGGUUUAAGCUCUCAUGAGAAGUUGUAGUCCCAAAUCUCCGGAUGGGCACCAGGUCGAGGAAGCCCUGAACACUCCUCAAAUCCUUUAUCCUUAGCGUUCAUAGGACGCGAGGCAGAAAGCAGCACAGAGAUUUCUGAAUUUUAAAGCUAAGCAGUUGCGGGCAAAUCAGUCGAUGAAAAAUGCAUUUGUUAAACAAGACAGCUAUGACAAAGAAGGGUGAUUCGUCACCAACGGAAACAAAAAUCCAAUACACAACAUAAUCUUUUUUUAAAAAAAUGAAAACCAUUGCUGUUCUCCUUGGAGUGCUCCAGCAGUGGUGGAGCCAGCGAUGAGGUGUGCUAAGUGGUGUCAGGGCCACAGUGGAUCGAUGGGGUACUAAAUCCCCUGCUCCCCCAAAUUCCUUAUAAAUAGGUUUGGAGCUGCAUCAAAACUUGAGCUGAGGACUCCGUUCCCUCCAAUGGGGCAUUGGAUGUGGCAGCUGCAUCUUCACAGAGUUCACAGAAAUCAAUGGAACAAGUUCAUCAUGCCUUACCUGAAGUGCCAUUGAUUGUCCCCCCGUUAUUUGGGGAGGGAUUUGUAAUAAAAUGGCAUAUGUGGUAGAGGUACCUCUGGGUAAGAAACCUGAAAAAAUUCAGAAGGAUGGGUGUAGGGGCUGAGGAAUUAUUCUGAUAGAAGUUUUUUUUUUUUAGGCUUCCGUUUUUGCUUCUCGUUUAAUUGAUGACAACUGAUAAGGAUCUUUCCAGAUCCCUCUGAAAUGCACUGUAUAAUAAAGUAAAAUAAAAAUGAGAACCCUG
rnacentral:lncRNA from 1 species